rnacentral:rRNA from 1 species
CAGAGGGGGCAAGCGUUGCUCGGAAUUACUGGGCGUAAAGGGCACGUAGGCGGAAUGGCAAGUCGGUCGUGAAAUCCUUCGGCUCAACCGAAGAACGUCGAUCGAAACUGCCGUUCUUGAGGAUUGCAGAGGAGACUGGAAUUCCCGGUGUAGCGGUGAAAUGUGUAGAGAUCGGGAGGAACACCGGUGGCGAAGGCGGGUCUCUGGGCAAUUCCUGACGCUGAGGCGCGAAAGCGUGGGGAGCAAACGGGAUUAGAUACCCCGGUAGUCCACGCUGUAAACGAUGACGACUAGGUGUGGGGGGGUUCAGUCCCCUCCGUGCCGCAGCUAACGCAUUAAGUCGUCCGCCUGGGGAGUACGGCCGCAAGGUUG